rnacentral:misc_RNA from 1 species
GCAGAGCCAUGGCCCUCUUCUUUGUUCUCUGCUGGAUCCAAGGUUCUCCCUCUGUCACCCAGAGCUGGAGUGCGGUGGCAUAAUCACAGCUAAUUGCAGCCUCAACAUUCCAGGCCCAAGGAUCCUCCCUUCAGCCUUCCAGAGUCGGGGGUCUCCCUAUGUUUCCCAGGCUGGCCUCGAACUCCUGACCUCAAGUGAUCCUCCCACCUCAGCCUCCCCGAGUGCUGGGAUUAAAGACGUGAGCCACGGCACCUGGCCUGAAUUUUCCUCAAAUUCAAAAAAUCCUGAUGAAGGUUUGGCUAAAAUCUUUGAUGAAAUUGUGCUCCAAGUGUUUUCCAAGGUUCCGUAUGACCCAUCAUUUGAUGAAACAAGAACAGCAGUCAGAUCCAUUACAAAGAGAGACACACAAAAAAGCUAUUCCCAACAGAAGAGCUUGAACAAUGCUGCAUUUGCAUCAGGUUCAAAUGAGCGAGAGGAACAUUUGGCUAAAAUAUUUGAUGAAAUUCUACUGCAGGUGUUUCCAAAGUUUCCGUAUGACCCAUCAUUUAACGAAGCAACAGCAGUCAGAUCCAUUACAAAGACAGACAUGAGAAAAGGAACCAGCAUUGCUUGGAAUUCUCCUAAACCAGAAUAUUUCCUUGGCAGUGUGGACAAAAUUCCUGAUAAAGAUCACCUUUCAGAGGAGAAGAAUUUUAAAGAAUCCUGUCUGUUCGACAGGGAUUUAAGAGAGCAGUUAACUACUAUAGAUAAAGAAACACUUCAAGGAGCAGCUAAACCAGGUG